rnacentral:rRNA from 1 species
GAUGAACGCUGGCGGCGUGCCUAAUACAUGCAAGUCGAGCGAACGGACGAGAAGCUUGCUUCUCUGAUGUUAGCGGCGGACGGGUGAGUAACACGUGGAUAACCUACCUAUAAGACUGGGAUAACUUCGGGAAACCGGAGCUAAUACCGGAUAAUAUUUUGAACCGCAUGGUUCAAAAGUGAAAGACGGUCUUGCUGUCACUUAUAGAUGGAUCCGCGCUGCAUUAGCUAGUUGGUAAGGUAACGGCUUACCAAGGCAACGAUGCAUAGCCGACCUGAGAGGGUGAUCGGCCACACUGGAACUGAGACACGGUCCAGACUACUACGGGAGGCAGCAGUAGGGAAUCUUCCGCAAAGGGCGAAAGCCUGACGGAGCAACGCCGCGUGAGUGAUGAAGGUCUUCGGAUCGUAAAACUCUGUUAUUAGGGAAGAACAUAUGUGUAAGUAACUGUGCACAUCUUGACGGUACCUAAUCAGAAAGCCACGGCUAACUACGUG